UGUCCAGAAGUCUCCAGAUCUAUUCGUUGCUGGUUCCACUGCACCAAAGGUCCAUGGGAAAAGCCAGGAUCAUGCUCCAACAUUGGCCAGGUCACUACUCCGAGCUCCCAUGAUAAUCGAUCUUCGACCGAGCUUCUACAAUAAGCGGUCUCCUUUCAGCCUUCUUCAAGAACCAGACUCCGUCUGAACUUCCAUAGCGGAUGG
rnacentral:lncRNA from 1 species